GAUGAACGCUGGCGGCGUGCCUAAUACAUGCAAGUCGAGCGAACAGACGAGGAUCUUGCUCCUUUGACGUUAGCGGCGGACGGGUGAGUAACACGUGGAUAACCCACCUCUCAGACUGGGAUAACUGCGGGAAACCGUAGCUAAUACCGGAUAACCUUUUGAACCGCAUGGUUCAACAGUGAAAUACGGGCUUGCUGUCACUUCUAGAUGGAUCCGCGCCGCAUUAGGUAGUUGGUAAGGUAACGGCUUACCAAGUCAGCGAUGCGUAGCCGACCUCGGAGACUGAUAGCCCGCCUGGGAGCGUAGACACGGUCCAGAGGCCUACGAGACGGAGCAGUAGGCAACGUGACGCAAUGGGCGAGAGUCUGACGGAGCAACGCAGCGCCAGUGGAGGAGGUGUUCGGAGCGUAAAACUCUGUUACGAGGUGAGAACAAAUGUGUAAGUAACUAUGCACGUAUUGACGGUACCUGAACAGAAAGCCACGGCUAACUACGUG
rnacentral:rRNA from 1 species